rnacentral:rRNA from 1 species
UACAGAGGGUGCGAGCGUUGUUCGGAAUUACUGGGCGUAAAGCGCACGUAGGCGGCUUUGUAAGUUAGAGGUGAAAGCCCGGGGCUCAACCCCGGAAUUGCCUUUAAGACUGCAUCGCUUGAAUCCAGGAGAGGUGAGUGGAAUUCCGAGUGUAGAGGUGAAAUUCGUAGAUAUUCGGAAGAACACCAGUGGCGAAGGCGGCUCACUGGACUGGUAUUGACGCUGAGGUGCGAAAGCGUGGGGAGCAAACAGG